UGUGACCCAUUCAAGGGCGCCUUGGAGACAGCAAGGACCCCGGCCGGGGCUGCCCAGAGAGGCUCUGAAGUGACUUUUUCAGCUUUAUUUGCCCAGUGCUAUUACAGCAUCUCAGCGAAGAAGAACGGACACGUUUCCAAACCCAGAGGGAAAGGCUUCAAAGACGACACAUCUAACAAUCUAAGGCUGGAAACAGACGGGUGGGAAAUGAGAAAAUGGAUUCCAAGGUUUUUAGCAAGGACCAAGCAGAGACCAUUUCAAGAUGCAGCUCUUCUCAGUUUGACGCUGUUCUAUCAUGUUCUACAUCUGUUUCACCAAUACAACAGCCAGCAUUUACUGCCUAUUCAAUAC